rnacentral:rRNA from 1 species
AUGGUGGUGCCCCGCUCUGCGAUGCCUGCGACACCGAGCGCGCCGCCCUCUGCUGCCAAAUCGGCGCCCACCGGGCCAUGCUCUGCGCCGGCCGCCGUGCGCUGCCGGACCGCGGCGGUGGAGCCUCCCCCGUGGAUGCUUACACCAGCGGCUACGCGCCCGCCGAGAUCGUCCGCAUCUUCUCCGUCGACGCGUCGUCGUCGCAUGAGGACUUCGACGCCUGGCUCGCCGACAACCUCCCCCAAAUCCUACACGAGUUUGAUUGUGUGA